GCCAGCCAUAGUGCUGUGCACCUGUAGACUCAGCUACUCAGGAGACUAGGCAGGAGGAUUGCUUGAGCCCAGGAGAUCUGGGCUGUAGCAUACUAUGUCAAUAGGAUGACUGCACUAAAUACAUCAAUAUGGUGACCUCCCAGGAGCAGGGAACCAGCAAGAUGCCUGAGGAGGGGUGACCCAGCCUGGGUCAGAAACAGAGCAGGACAAAACUUCCAUGCUGAUCAGCAGCAGGAUCACAUCUGUGAAUAGUCACCGCCAGUGUGGACAACAUAGAAAAUCCCUAUCUCU
ensembl:misc_RNA Metazoa_SRP Metazoan signal recognition particle RNA